CUUUAGAUACCCGGGUAGUCCUGGCAGUAAACGCUGCGUGCUAGGUGUAGUGUAUCUAUAAGGAUAUGCUGUGUCGAAACGAAGGUGUUAAGCACGCCACCUGGGAAGUACGGCCGCAAGGCUGAAACUUAAAGGGAUUGGCGGGGGAGCACUACAAGGGGUGCGGCGUGCGGUUUACUCUAACUCCACGCAGAGAAUCUCACCAGCAGCGACGGCAGUAUGAUGGUCACUCUAAAGGGGUUACCGGACGAGCCGAGAGGUAGUGCAUGGCCGCCGUCAG
rnacentral:rRNA from 1 species